AUCUAGCUGACGAGUCCCAAAUAGGACGAAACUCGUGUCCUAGAU
rfam:Schistosoma mansoni strain Puerto Rico chromosome 7, complete genome